UCUCUAUUCUUCUUUCUUUUCCGUUUUUGUUCUCUUCUCUCCUGUUUUUCUUUCUCUGACGAAUUUGUGAGAUCAAAUGGAAGCUCUGAGAUCGACAGAAGAUGGAGAAGAUCAUACUGUAGUCAGUAGUGAUGGUGAUGGUGUCUAUUGUGAUUCAGACUCGAAGAAAGAAAUGAAUUAGAAGUUAGGCUUUCUGAGUUUCGUUAGUGAUUGAAGAUUACUGAGGAAUUGAGGAUGAAAUCAAGUAAUUAAGAGGGGUUUCUCUUUAAUUGAUGAUGUGGAGUUGUUUUAAUGAAGAGUCUGUGAGUUAGGGUUUCUUAAUAAGUUCAAGGAAGAUGUAGAUGGUGAAGUUGAGAGAUUACGAAGAAGAUUAAAGAUGGGUUUGGUAUACUGAGAACAAAGAAGAAGAUUUGGGUAUUCAGUUUGGGGAUUGAUUACAGAGAAGAAGUUCAUCUGGUGAAGAUUUGAGAAUUAGGGUUUCUCUUCUUCGCCAAAACAGAAAUUAGGUCUUUGGUGGAAUUGAUUCGGCGUAUUAGCAAUUCAGAAGUUACUAAAGUUUGGGUAAGCUUCUAAUUAUUCUAAGUUUGAGAUUUUAAAUUGAAUUGUUUCAAUUGUAUAGUUAUGUAGAUGUUAUUGGAAUUAAGACUUGAGUUUGGGAAUGGAAUGGAACUGUAUUUAGUUGUAGUUUAGGUUUAUGUUGAUGUUCAGUGAUGGGUCCAUGUGGAGAUGACUCAGUGGUUGGGCUAUUGGAGUUUUUAAGGAUGUGAAUUGCAGGGAGAAGGAAGGAUGGUGUUAUUAGUGAAUAUUGAGUGAACUGAGUUUAGAUGAAUGCUAGGUUUGUUGAGUUGAUGAAUGUAAGUUAUGAGUUUCCUGAAGUGAUAAUUAUGUUGUUGUCGGGAUUCAAAUCGAGUUUGCAGAAUUUCCUGAGUUAAUAGUGUUGUUGCUCCAGAGGAACUGAAAAGAGAUUUCAGUUGAAGAAGUAAUAUGGCAGGAAAAGAGGGUUGGAGUUUUGAAGUUAAGAGUGUGUAUGUAUGCUUGCAGAUGGUGUUGUUAGUUGAAAUUUAUGUAUGAAGGGGAGGUUGUUGUGAAUGUUCCCCAAAGUGACACUGCAAUUGAAACUGCAGUGUCUAGUUAUUGUAGAGUAAAAAAGGGAUCAUGGUGGUGAUUCAGAAAAGAAGUGGGACUGCAGAUGUAAUCAGAUGGUGGUAAUAUUGUUAAAGCUCAUAAAACUGUGAUUGCAGACUAGGAUUGUGUUGUGAAAUUGAGUAAGAGAAUGGUUGCUGAUUUGGAAACUAGUUGUAUUUGUAGAAGUUUAUGGAGUGAUUGGUUUCUGAAGUUUCAGUUCAUGAAGAAUGAUGGAUUCAGAGUUGUAGAUUGUAUUUGCUGUGAAAGCUUGAUGUUACUGCAAUUUCAGUUAGUGUAUAUUAACAACGAUCGAUUCAAAGGAUGAACCAGUGGAUCGUGGAUCUCGAGGUAGGCAUGGCUUGUCGUCAAAAGAGGCACACCCCAAAGCUUCGGGUGUUAAGGAAAAUCCUAUGUAGUUUUAUGAUCAAUAGAAAGUUAUAAUUGGAAAUGAACAGGCUACAAGUGACAGGGAAGUGGAAGCCUAUCACUUUUCUUCUCCUCAAUUCAAGAUCCAACAUCUCACUCACAAACUCUCCCUGAUAUACAAUACGAGUCAAUAAUCAAUUAAAGUUUUAUACACUUAUCUUUUUUACCUGAAAUUAUAUAUGAUUUAUGUAUUUGGUUGCACAAUCAGAUGGUUUUUCUGGUGACAGUGUUCCACUUGAUGAUUUUGUGAACCCAAACUCUACUCAAAGGGAUUCAACUGUCUUUGGGUUUAAUACAACCCAACCAAGUGUAGGACCAACACAAAGGAGUAAAAGAAUACGUUCUCUUGAAGAAGGUAUAAGUUAUGGCAUUACUGGAAUGGUAUAAGCUACAAAUAGAAUUGCUGCAACUUUUAAGGGCCCGAACUGGCAGAAGAUUAAUGCAUCCUUAGAAGUUAUCCAUAACUAGAAGAAGAUACAUUUUCUAAGCGGCGACUGUUAGAAAUUCGUGGGCCUAACUAACCUCGAAAACCGGCUUCCAAGGUUAGGGUUGCCCAAGGCUUAUUAAGCAUGGAACCUAGGUUUCCCUAGGCGAUGUGGUACUAUUUAACACCUCCCCUCAACGACUAGGGCUACAUUGAACUGAUGGACACGAAAGCCGCUGACAGGGAUACACUGACUGAUGAGUGGUACGGAAACCACGGAUACAUUGAACUGAUGGACACGAAAGCUUCUGACAGGGAUACACUGACUGAUGAGUGGUACGAAAACCACGGACACAUGCUGGCGGGGAUACAGAGUGGUACGAAAACCACGGACACACGGGUAGCGUUGAGAGGGGUCUGGCUCUGAUACCAUGACAAAGAUUAUCAUGUCAUGUAUAUUCUGAAUGAUAGGAUUGUAUUCAACGUAUUCAACCAAGAUUCAAUGGUCUGUUCUUAUAUACAAGAAACAGAGAUACUGGUGUAUGACACAUCUAGACCAAGUCACCCCCGUUUGAACAUGUUACUUCUUAAAUUAUGA